rnacentral:miRNA from 1 species
UGGUGCAAAAGUAAUUGCGGUUUUUGCCAUUAAAAGUAAUGUGGCCAAAACUGCAGUUACUUUUGCACCC